rnacentral:rRNA from 1 species
CUUCCACAGUAUCAAUUGGAGGCCAAGUCUGGUGCCAGCAGCCGCGGUAAUUCCAGCUCCAAUAGCGUAUAUUAAAAUUGUUGCAGUUAAAAAGCUCGUAGUUGAAUUUCUGCUGCAUUGCUUGUGUCCCUCUGGGGUCUGUGCAUGUGGCUUUUUUCGGACGGAGUUUCUUUGUCUGAAUGUUUACUUUGAGAAAAUUAGAGUGCUCAAAGCAGGCUUUCGCCUUGAAUAGUUUAGCAUGGAAUAAUAAAGUAGGACUUUGGUUCUAUUUUGUUGGUUUUAGGUACCAAAGUAAUGGUUAAUAGGAACAGUUGGGGGCAUUCGUAUUUAACUGUCAGAGGUGAAAUUCUUA